rnacentral:rRNA from 1 species
AUUGAACGCUGGCGGUAUGCUUAACACAUGCAAGUCGAACGGUAACAGGCCUUCGGGCGCUGACGAGUGGCGGACGGUGAGUAACGCGUAGGAAUCUGCCUCAUAGUGGGGACAACGUGGGGAAACUCACGCUAAUACCGCAUACGCCCUACGGGGAAAGCGGGGAGUCUUCGGACCUCGCGCUAUGAGAUGAGCCUGCGUUAGAUUAGCUAGUUGGUAGGGUAAAGGCCUACCAAGGCGACGAUCUAUAGCUGGUCUGAGAGGACGAUCAGCCACACUGGGACUGAGACACGGCCCAGACUCCUACGGGAGGCAGCAGUGGGGAAUAUUGGACAAUGGGCGCAAGCCUGAUCCAGCAAUACCGCGUGUGUGAAGAAGGCCUUAGGGUUGUAAAGCACUUUCAAUUGGGAGGAAAACCUGCCGGUCAAUGCCCGGCAGCUUGACAUUACCUUAGAAGAAGCACCGGCUAACUCCGUGCCAGCAGCCGCGGUAAU